UUUUUUUUUGUGGCUUUUUCGUGGACUAUAGGUAUGAAGAACAGACUCGAUCUAAACUACGAAAAACUGUAAAAUCUCACCGAGCAACCUGGAAAUCUAAUACCACUUGAUAGAGGCAAAGGUGUCCCGUCUUUCGAUGAGAUGAUGGAUAUCGCUUUGGUGGAAGUCGACUUUGACGAUCCGACUACGAACGUGCGAGGACGUCGCGCCUUAGCAAUCGCUAAACCAACUCCGAGAGGUUAUUGACCACGCCGGAGCACGAUCAACCUGACCACGAGGGUCUGUUUCCUGCGAGCGAACGAAGAACAAGCAAGAAACUAAGAUUGCAAUCUGGAUAUUGCGAAUAUAAGAUGAAAGCUUUAUUGAUCAAGGUGGGGUUCUGUGACGCCUUUGUCUGGUCGUUGAACACAAACGAAGUACGCGAAGUUGCAGCUAUGGCAAACUUUUAAUCUAAACAAAACCCAAAGUCUAAACGAUGCCCUAAGGGCUGUAUAUAUGGAGGAAGAGGGGGGAAUUUCGUGGCCCUUGGUGGAGGGGUCCGAAAUCAACCCUAUCUCUUGUUUCCCCACACAUACGGACUCUAAAAAUAGCAUAUACUUAUGUAUUUCGAAAUUACAUGGGCCUGGCCCAAUAAUAAGGUGACGCGGCACCUAAAAUAGCCUCGGGACGAAAUUUAUGAAGUGGCAUCUUGUAUAUUUCGUCCAAGGCUUCAUGCACCCAUUAUGGUGGCUUCAAAGUCCUGAAAUCAUCACUUGUAACUCCGUUCUUGUUCCCCUUGCGCAUGCCAUCAUCUCCAUGCUUGUUCUUGCUCCAAUGUUCAUCCUUCUCCAAGCUAGGCCCUUCAUUUGUAAGCAAAACAAAUGUAUCCAAUUUAGGCAGCAUCAUAUUCUCAUGAACAUUAGAAUCAUUACCAAGAAACGAAAGUACCUGGUAAUUUAGUUGGCGUGCACGAGCUCUAGUAAUUGGUCCAGUAUGUAUAGCAGCAGGGGCUGUGGGUGUAACAAUUGUAUUGAUGUCCUCAUCACUUGGUUCAACAAUAUGGGAGGCAUGAUAAGCAAGUGGUAGGUACCGCAGCAUAGUCAUAGCAAAAGAGCGAGCAACUAAGCAAGCAAAGAUAGAAGUGAUUUCGAGGGUAUGGUCAUCUUGCCUGAAAUCCCGCAAGGAAGAAGAACGAGUCCAUGAAGAAGAGCAACUGACGUAGUCGAACGGUUCCUUACAAACGCGACGUUACCGGAACCAACCCGAAGAAGCCACACCGGAAAGAAGCAAACAACAUAGUGAACAACCACCACAUAGACAUGGCAUGAUGCACAACCAAGUAUGAUGCAUGUCCGGUUUAAUGAGGCAUGGCAUGGCAAAGUGCAACAAACAAUACUACAAGUUAAGUGGAGCUCAAUAUGCAACUCCGUUGCAUAUUGAUGAAACACCAGGUGACUUAUUUAGUUCAAUCUUGUUUAUGUACCCAACAAUAUUAAAUGUUGUUAAACAUGGCAAGAAGUGAAGCAAAGCAAAACUACCUAUCUAGUCAAGUUUAAAUGAGUCCGGGAACAACAAACAACAAAUCCGGAAACUCUUCAUGUGCAUAUAUUAGGUUAGGUCAUGUUCUGCCCUAAACCAUAUUUUUGAUUUUUUUUUUAACAUGCAAGAUGAGUGCACCAUGUUAAAGUAGGCAAAAUUCUACCCCAUUUACAUAUAAAGUUUAUUAAAUUCGGAGUUACGGUUAUUUAGUUAUGAAUUAAAGCAUUUUAACAUGGCAUAGGAGCAAAUUUAAUCAAACAUCAUUUUAAACAUCUUAAACAUGGGUGAAAGUUGCAUAUUGAGAAACUAGAUGAAAUUCUAAGCAAGUUUCAUAUAUAAAUUUUUAGAUCCGAUGCAUGGUUGAGAAGUUAUUAAAUGCAUGAAGUUUAAGGGCUAUUCUGCUAAACAGGUCUUCUCUGGAAUAUUAGGAAAAACCUCCUGAACUGAAAAAAACAUCACGGGCCGAAUCUGCAGGCUGCUGGGGCGCUCACCAUGGGCUGAGGCCCGGUUCGGUGAAGAGGUAGGCUAGAAGGGGCGGCGCGGAUCUGGCCCGACUGGAAGCGGUGCUGGGCCGCGGUUGGAGAGGAGGCCGGCCCACCUGCGUGGACGAGGUCAGCGAUGCGGACGUCGUUGUCCUCCUCCCGACAAGGACGAGCGGCGGCGGCUUGCAGCCUCCGGCGAAAUGACGUGGGGAGGAGCUGGGGUUGAACAGCGGCAUCAGAUUCGGGCGGAUCUGGACCCAGGGGACCCAUUCCCGACGCCGGUGGCGCCCGGCGAUGCAAGGUUGGCCGGAUCUAGCAGCAAUAGCCUCACCUGCGAGAGAGAGAACGAGAGGUGAGCGCUGGGAGGAGAAGAAAGAGAGAAGAGAGAGGGACGGCGGAGCUCUGGCCUCAGGUGGAGGUCGCCGGCGGCAGCACUCCGGUGGCCGGUGGAAGGAGGCGAAGCGCGAGGUGGCGCAUGGCUCCAGCGGGAGGAGGCAUACGAGCGGGCGAAGUGGGCGCAGGGGAGGACACGCGGCGAUGCAAGAUUGGGUGCAGGGGCGGCGCGGCUGACAUGGCGGCGGCGGCGGGUGGCUCUGGCGGCGACAAGUGGCGGCGGGGUGCUGGUUGGGCGCUGAAAGCGAGGUAGGAGACGGCGGCGGCUGCGGGGGGAGGAGGUUUAGGCCAUUUUUGGCAGGGGUAGGGCUAUAUAUAGACAGAUGCUAGGGUUAGGAGGGGUUUUCGGAGCCUCCGAUCGCGAUCCGAUGGCUCCGGACACGAGGAGGGGUAGAUUGGAGCGUGUGGGUUGUGCAGAAGGCCUCGGGCAGAGAGGAGAGAAGAGAGAUAGAGGCCCGGCGACUGUUUUCGGAGACCGAAAACGUCCGACGUUUGACCGACUAUAAUGUCUCUAUAGUUAUCCGUUGGGGGAUCAAAUGAACUCCGAAUGCGAUGAAAUUUGACAGGCGGUCUAUCGACACUAUAACAAGACCACACGCCAACUCUCAUCUCAUUCUGAGAACAUUUUCCGACCACUUAUAAAAUAAUAUUUCGGACAUGCCGCGGGCGCGUGCAAGUGUGUCUGGGCUCAGAACGGACAACGGGGAGAACUGGGAGAACCCGGACGAAUGCAAGUUUUGAAAACAUGAUGAUGCAAUGCACAUGAUGACAUGAUAAGAUGCAACACGCAAGCAAAUGACAUGGCAACAACAUCGAAUAACUGGAAGACACCUGGCGCAUCGGUCUCGGGGCGUUACAACACUCCACCACUACGAGAGGAUCUCGUCCCGAGAUCUAGAAUGGCACCGGAGGGAAAAACGGAAGAUAAAGAGAAGAGGUAAAACUAAGUUGCUUCUUUGACGAAUGAGUGAAACCAAAGAACCUUGCGAGGUUGAACAAAUUUGAGACAGAAUACAACGAAGGUGAACAAGGUCAAAAACACUCCUUUAGAAAAGAGGAACAAAGAACAUUGCGAAAAAUCCUUGAGGUUGAAGGGCAAGAUAAAUAUUGAAACCACUCCGGUUAAAACAAGAUAGAAAAGGAUUAAUAAUGAUAUAAUUUGGAUAGCACUCCGACUGAAAAGAAAAGGAAUUGAAUAAGAACUUGAUCAAACGAGAAGAUACUUGGUGAAAUCAACAACACACUGCCUCCGGAACUAUUGAAAGAAUGGCACAAGGGGGUAAGAACGAUUUUAGACAGCACUCCGGUUGAGAAAGGAUGUAAAACUUGAUAAGAUGAGAGAACUGGCAUGAAAACACAACACUCCGGUCGAAUGGAUAAGCAAAGGAAAGAACAUGAUCCUGAUGAAACAAGAAGAUGAGUUGAAGAGAGCAACAUCCCAAUGCCUCCGGAAGAAAGAAAUAGACGAUAGAUAAAUGAAAAAGAAGGAAUAGAGAAGAAAACGGCAACUUCUGCCACCCAUGAUCUUGGAAGGCACCCUUCCAAGAAGGUUAAAACGUAGUUGUUGGGAAAGACCAACAAAAAAAUGAAUAAGUUUGUAGUGGGCUUAUGGAAAAACAUCUCAAAACUAUGAGGUGAAAUUUUUGCCACUAACGGGACCAAUAGAUUGGAUUGAUAUCAGCAAGGAGACGAGAAACUAUUUCACCGGAAGGAUAAAUGAAAAACUUGGGUCAUUUAUAAACACCAUAAAUAGCAACAUUCCCAAUGGAAGGCUUUCGGUGAAAUCUAAACCGAGAUAACUCCAAUGAAGAGAUUGGUGGAUUUAAAUACCUCACUCUUGAAAACAUGUGAAUCAUGAAACAUGAACUCAAAUUAUCAAAAAUGACAUAAUACCACCUCCAAAGAUACGGAAGAAAUAAUUGCACUCCGGAUAGCAAGAUGAAGAAUGCUUGAGCUCCCUAGAAAUGAACCUCAAUGAAAACUUCGAGAAGGAAUUAAAUCCUUGAUGGAUCCAUCAUAGAACCUUCAUGAAGAACUCCGGUAAUAAAAGAAUGAUCCCAAAAUAAUUGACUGAUGAAAAGAAUAAGAUUGAAGCCUCGCAAUGAUUUAGAUAGAGAUCUCCGUGAUAAUAAAAUUGAAAGAGGUUGGAACUCCGGAAAAGAAAGAUGAACAAAUGAGAUCAAGAAUUUGAAGGGCCUCUGGAAUAAGGAAUUAAUCACUUGAAUGAACAAGAAUAAGAAUAAUGUUAUUCUUAUCCUUCACCAAUUAAAUUGAUGGCAAUCAACAGAUUUGGCAUAUUACUUAUUCUCGUAGAAAAGGAUUAAGAUAGAUAUGGCGCAAACUUGGAAGAUCUUCAACGAACCACCAUUAGAGUUUGGGACAACGAAUACAUAGAUAUGAUAAACGAAGGAAGAAGAAACUCUUGAACGAACCACCGUAAGAAUUGGUUAUGAACGAAGUAAGGAUAAAGAAACACCGGGAAGAAUUAUGAAAUGAACGAAGAUACUUGAGAGGAUUUAGAUACAUUAGAACGAAGAGAUCACGAGCCGAUAAAAGAUCACUUGAACGAAGCACCGGUAAAAUAGGAGACUGAUAACUGACAGCUGAGAAUGAAUAAACCUGAAUUGACGGACUCCGGAUAACAAACUGAGAAGACUCUUGAAUUGCUCCGGAUAGGUGAAAAGAAUUCUCACGAACAAAACAAUUAUGGGAGGAUGGCAACAAGCUAGAAUCACGAAUCUUGAAGAGAAUUGAUUAGAUUAGGAGGAAAAACUCUUCCUCGGUCUUCAAAUCCUGAGAAUGACGAUGAGAAACACCAACAAAAAUUAUUUAGACACUCCGGAAUGAAGAAUGGAAAGGUUAAGCCAACGAUGAAAAGAAUUUAACCGAUCUUGGAGAAAGGCAUUUGACUAAUGAUAAUCAUUCUUACGUCAAACUUCGAAAAGAAAUUUGAGGAUAGCUCCGGUAAAAUAAGAAGAGUCAGGUAAGAUCCUGGGAAAAGACCUGUGGGUUAGGGCCCACUCAAAAGAAACACCGUUGAAAAGAUUUAAAGAGAGAAUGCACCGGUUGAAUUAAAAGACUUGAAUGAGAUAACAUCCUCGAAAGAACUUGAACGAAUGUAGAGUGGAAACACGAAUCUUCUGAGAUAUCUUUAGCACUCCGAAACAGAAGAAUAGCGAGAGGUGAACGAUUAUGAGGUGCACUGGCGUAAGAAAAGCAUUGGACAAAAAGAAAAGACAAUGCUCAAUACCAAAGUUUGAAUUGAAACCAUCGGAGAAGGAAAAUGAGUGACGAGAGACAAACUUGAAGCUUCGUUAGCAUCUUCAUGAGAAUCACCGGAUAAGAAUAUUGAUAGAAAAGAAUGGAGAGACUUCACAACAUUAAAAUGAAUAGUGAUUAAGAAAUCUGAAUCCUUCAAGAAAAAGGGUGGGUGGGCGGGGAAAAAACAAAGGAAACUUGGAGACGAAAGAAACAAACACCAUUGAGAAGAACUGAAAUUGAAUCUUGCAGAUGUUGACAAGAUUGGAUCCACUUGAAGAGAAAAAACACGCUGGGUGAAAAGUUUUGACAAGACAAACUUGAUGAUCAAGAAGGAUUGGUAUCCACAUCAGAGUAUGAGAACACCAUUUGGGGAAGGUAUGGAAUCAACAUUUGACUUCGAAGCAACUUGAAUACCACAACUCAAAAGCAAAACAAAGGAUUGGCUUGCGAAAUAAGCCGGAACAAACAUAUGAUAGAGAUUUCGUCCGAAGUUUUCGUGGUGGGGCCUACACGGGCUCGAUCGUACAGCACCAUCAUGUACAAGGCAGUGCACAUGACAUACGAAGCGUCCCCGAGUCGGCAUAGCCAAGGACUCUUUAAGACACAACGAGACCACUGUAAAACCGACUGUGGAUAGGCGGACCACUAGACGUUGAACCCCAAUUUCAUAUCAUACACCUGUCGGAAAGAUUUCCUAAGAGCUACUUGAAUUCCCACCUAUGAAACUCCCAAACCUUUCUGGUUAUGCAAUCAGGUGUUGGGGAUACAGGGGAAGCGUAAUACCUCACCCAAAACUAGCAAAUCCUACAUCUAGCUGUAUCCAUCCUUCAACACAUAACCAAGAAACCUUCGGAAAUCAUCUACCUCAACCUUCGAAAACCAUCCGUUAUACAAGUUAUGGCAAUACUCCCGAACUCCCGCCCCAGUACUGGGUGGCGUCGAGGUUAUCUCACCAACAACUGCAUAAAAGAGAUUUUCGAUGUCGGUGAAACUAAUCUCAGGUAUUCCAGAACUGCAACGAUAAAAUUAUGACAACAACACCUCAGAGCUCAACUCCCUGGGACACUUCCACAAAACCCCUGACAGGAGGCACCAAGACAAUGUUCUCGUCACAAAACCAUCGGAAUGAUUCCAAGAUACCCGCGUGAUCCUAAAAGAAAAUUAGUGAAAUUUGAAAAGAGAAGAGUCAAAACUCUACGUCAAGAUGCCUUACCAGAGCGAUGAAGGGACUGGGAAGUAAAAAAGAAUUCCUAAACUCUCCGAUAUAUAAUUCCUAAAUGACUCAAAACAUUUUUCUAGACACAACUCGGCCGCUAAAAACGAUCAAGCAAUGGGGCUCCUAAGGUCGGGGAAGGCUCUGAUACCAACUUGUAACGCCCUCGAUGCAGCUAUAUCUCCCACGUGUCGAAGCACGACUUAGAGGCAUAACCGCAUUGAAAGCAAUGUCGCAAGUGAGGUAAUCUUCACACAACCCAUGUAAUACAUAAGGGAAAGAGAUACAUAGUUGGCUUACAAUCGCCACUUCACACAAUACAUGAAUAAAGCAUUACAUCAUCCAAAUACAAUCAAGGUCCAACUACGGAACCAAAAUAAAAGAAGAACCCCAAGUGCGACAAAGGUCCCCGACCGACCCCAACUGGGCUCCACUACUGAUCAACUAGAACGGAACAACACAAAGGACAAGAUCUUCAUCGAGCUCCUCCUGAGCUUGGUUGCGUCAUCUGCACGGACUCAUCAGCACCUGCAAGCUGGUUUUGGAAGUAUCUGUGAGCCACAGGGACUCAGCAAUCUCGCACCCUCGCGAUCAAGACUAUUUAAGCUUAUGGGUAAGGUAAAGGUAUGAGGUGGAGCUGCAGCAAGCGGCUAGCAUAUAUGGUGGCUAACAUACGCAAAUGAGAGCGAGAAGAGAAGGCAAAGCACGGUCGAUACAAGUAUGAUCAAGAAGUGAUCCUAAAACAACCUACGUCAAGCAUAACUCCAACACCGUGUUCACUUCCCGGACUCCGCCGGAAAGAGACCAUCAUGGUAACACACGCGGUUGAUGUAUUUUAAUUAAGGUCAACUUCAGGUUUUCUACAACCGGACAUUAACAAAUUCCCAUCUACCCAUAACCGUGGGCACGGCUUUCAAAAGUUCAAAUCCCUGCAUGGGUGUCCCAACUUAGCCCAUGACAAGCUCUCACGGUCAACGAAGGAAUAGACCUCCUCCCGAGACAUUCCGAUCAGACUCGGUAUCCCGGUUCUACAAGACAUCCUCAACAAUGGUAAAACAAGUCCAGCAAGACCACCCGCUGUGACGACAAAUCCCGUUAGGAGCUGCACAUAUCUCGUUCUCAGGGCACACCGGAUAAGCUAAGCGUACAGGAGCCGACGUAACCCAAGUUGCCAAGGGAUGGCCCUGCACGGUGCUAUGGGUUGGACCAACACCCAGAGGAGCACUGGCCCGGGGGUUUAAAUAAAGAUGACCCUUGAGUCUGCAGAACCCAAGGGAAAGAAAAGGCUAGGUGGCAAAUGGUAAAACCAAUGUUGGGCCUUGCUGGAGGAGUUUUAUUCAAGGCGAACUAUCAAGGGGUUCCCAUUAUAACCCAACCGCGUAAGGAACACAAAAUCCGGGAACAUAACACCGAUAUGACGGAAACUAGGGCGGCAAGAGUGGAACAAAACACCAGGCAUAAGGCCGAGCCUUCCACCCUUUACCAAGUAUAUAGAUGCAUUAAUUAAAAUAAGAGAUAUUGUGAUAUCCCAACAAAAUAUCCAUGUUCCAAACAUGGAACAAGCUCCAAUCUUCACCUGCAACUAACAACGCUAUAAGAGGGGCUGAGCAAAGCGGUAACAUAGCCAAACAACGGUUUGCUAGGACAAGGUGGGUUAGAGGCUUGGUUCAACAAUAUGGGAGGCAUGAUAAGCAAGUGGUAGGUAUUGCAGCAUAGUCAUAGCAAAAGAGCGAGCAACUAAGCAAGCAAAGAUAGAAGUGAUUUCGAGGGUAUGGUCAUCUUGCCUGAAAUCCCGCAAGGAAGAAGAACGAGUCCAUGAAGAAGACCAACUGACGUAGUCGAACGGUUCCUCACAAACGCGAUGUUACCGGAACCAACCCGAAGAAGCCACACCAGAAAGAAGCAAACAACAUAGUGAACAACCACCACAUAGACAUGGCAUGAUGCACAACCAAGUAUGAUGCAUGUCCGGUUUAAUGAGGCAUGGCAUGGAAUAGUGCAACAAACAAUACUACAAGUUAAGUGGAGCUCAAUAUGCAACUCCGUUGCAUAUUGACGAAACACCACGUGACUUAUUUAGUUCGAUCUUGUUUAUGUACCCAACAAUAUUAAAUGUUGUUAAACAUGGCAAGAAGUGAAGCAAAGCAAAACUACCUAUCUAGUCAAGUUUAAAUGAGUCCGGGAACAACAAACAAAAAAUCCGGAAACUCCUCAUGUGCAUAUAUUAGGUUAGGUCCUGUUCUGCCCUAAACCAUAUUUUUGAGUUGUUUUAACAUGCAAGAUGAGUGCACCAUGUUAAACUAGGCAAAAUUCUACCCCAUUUACAUAUAAAGUUUAUUAAAUUCGGAGUUACGGUUAUUUAGUUAUGAAUUAAAGCAUUUUAACAUGGUGAGGGAGUCCUGGAUUAGGGGGUGUUCGGGUAGCCGGACUAUACCUUCAGCCGGACUCCUGGAUUAGGGGGUGUUCGGGUAGCCGGACUAUACCUUCAGCCGGACUCCUGGACUAUGAAGAUACAAGAUUGAAGACUUCGUCCCGUGUCCGGAUGGGACUUUCCUUGGCGUGGAAGGCAAGCUUGGCGAUGCGGAUAUUCAAGAUCUCCUACCAUUGUAACCGACUCUGUGUAACCCUAACCCUAUCCGGUGUCUAUAUAAACCGGAGGGUUGUAGUCCGUAAGCAAUCAACUCCAUACACAACAAUCAUACCAUAGGCUAGCUUCUAGGGUUUAGCCUCCUUGAUCUCGUGGUAGAUCUACUCUUGUACUACCCAUAUCAUCAAUAUUAAUCAAGCAGGAGUAGGGUAUUACCUCCAUCGAGAGGGCCCAAACCUGGGUAAAACAAAGUGUCCCCUGUCUCCUGUUACCAUCCGACCUAGACGCACAGUUCGGGACCCCCUACCCGAGAUCCGCCGGUUUUGACACCGACAUUGGUGCUUUCAUUGAGAGUUCCUCUGUGUCGUCGCUUUUAGGCCCGAUGGCUUCUUCGAUCAUCAACAAUGAUGCAGUCCAGGGUGAGACUUUUCUCCCCGGACAGAUCUUCGUCUUCGGCGGCUUCGCACUGCGGGCCAAUUCGCUUGGCCACCUUGAGCAGAUCGAAAGCUACGCCCCUGGCCAUUAGGUCAGGUUUGGAAGCCUAAACUACACGGCUGACAUCCGCGGGGACUUGAUCUUCGACGGAUUCGAGCCACAGCCAAGCGUGCCGCACUGUCUCGAUGGGCAUGAUAUAGCUCUGCCACCGAACAGCGCCUUGGAGGCCGCACACGCAUCGGUUCCAACCAUUGAUUCGGAGCCCACUGCACCGAUCGAGGAUCAGCGGUUGGAAGCUGCCUCAGGGGCUGUGAUCUCAGAGGCGAUUGAGCCGAACUCCAGCCCCGCACUCCGCAUGGCCCGUGACUCCGAGGAGCUGGAUUCCUCUCCGAGCUCCGAGCCCCCCGCGCCCCUGCCAAUCGAAUCCGAUUGGGCGCCGAUCAUGGAGUUCACCGCCAUGGACAUCUUUCAGCACUCGCCCUUCGGCGAUAUCCUGAAUUCUCUAAAGUCUCUCUCUUUAUCAGGAGAGCCCUGGCCGGAUUACGGUCAGCAAGGAUGGGAUACGAACGAUGAAGAAAUUCAAAAAUUACAUCCUUGGUACAUUCAUCCGAUACAAGGCGGGCACCCGCAAGAACAUCCUUAUAGUAGUUCUCAGGCUUGCGAUGCUCCUUCCCCGGCGGCGGCCCGUCCCUCACAAGCUUCUCACUGUCCAGCUUACCCCGGUGCACCUUAGCACGGGCAAGGGCCCGACGGGCACCUUCGAUGCAGACGGAGCGCUUGACGACCUCGAGCCUUGGACAGGCCUCCACCAGCCGCCGCACCAGCCCGAAGUAGCUCCCAGGUAGGGCCUCUCCGGGCCACAGCCGAACUAUGAAGCCCUUCAUGGCCUGUUCGGGCGCCUUGUGGAGCUCGACCAGCUGUUUCAGCUGGUCGCUCAAGGGCACAGGGUGUCCGGCCUCAGCAUACUGAGACCAGAACACCUUCUUCGUCGAGCUGCCCUCUUCAGCUCGGUAGAAUGCGGCGGCGGCGGAUACGCUGCGGGGAAGAUCCGCGAAUGCCCCUGGAGAGCUCCGGAUUCGGGUAAGUAACAAGUAGUUUACUUUUAUAUUUCUGCUUUGCAUAAAGAAUGCCUUACCCGUUGCUAUCUUUUUCACCUCCUCCAACUCUUGGAGGGCCUUUUGGGCUUCGGCCUUGGCAGACAUGGCAGUCUCAAGGGCCGUCGCGAGCUCGGACACUUGGGUCUUUGACUCAAGCUCCAAACUCUCAUGUUUUUUCAUGAGAGCCUGAAGCUCUUGCUGCACCUCUCCGACCUGAGCCCCAAGUUUCUCUCGCUCGGUGUGCUCCGCGGCCGUUUUCUUUUCGGUCUCAGAUAGCUCCUGCUUGAGGGUCGCCACCUCAGUCAUGGCCCCUACAAUAAGCAGUACAAUCCUGUUAUUUUUUGCAAUCACGCCUCUCUAUAGGCACUUUUUCUGUAAGGUAUUUCUUACCUUCUUUCUCCUUGAGAUGCCGCUUGGCAAGGCCGAGCUCUUGCUCGGUCCGCUCAAGGUCCUGCUUCAGGACACCCACCUCCGCAGUCAGUGCGGCGGUGGAUAGCAGCGAAGCCUGCAUACGCAUAUUGACUCUUUUUGUUAGACUCCUGCGAAAUUUACUAGAUCCUCUAUUCGGCUUUUCUUUCCGAACGCCAAACAGAGCAUCAGGGGCUACUAUCUAUGCGGUAAUAUUGUUACAUAUUUUUUUACUUACCUCGAAGCCUGUUAGGAGGCUAGCGCAAGCUUCACUCAGUCCGCUCUUGGCGGACUGAACCUUCUGGAUCACCAUACUCAUAAUAGUACGGUGUUCCUCGUUGAUGGAGGCGCCUUCAAGCACCUCCAGCAGAUUGUCCGGCACCUCCGGUUGGACGGAGGCUGCCGGCUCAAAAGGCUUGCUCCUCUUUGAAGGAGUUCGCCUACCGCGGUCCGGAAUCAUUGAAGAUUCCGGCAUGGUGUCCGGCUCAAAGCCGGACUUGGAGCCCUGGGGGGUCUUGUCCCCUUUACUCCUGGAGUCCGGGAGGUCGCCUUGCGGCUCCUCCAGGACCACUUCCUCCUGCCCCGAAGCUCGUUGCGACACCACUUCGGCGUCAUCCGCAGUGCGGGGGGAGACAACAGGCGGAACUGAGUUCACGUCCGAUGAAUCCAAGGAGCCGCUCAACGACUCGUUGAGUUCGGCCCGGGGCAGGCUGCAUGAUUAUGUUCGACAUUAGGGAAAGCUGUGCAACAAAAGGAAUAUCAUGAGUUACUCUGGUAUCCGAACACUUACGAUUUCACCGGAUGCCUGGCCCUGUCUGGCCACUCGUCUUCGUCCUCGUCGGCGUCGGGGGCGUAGUCCGGCGGAGGGGUCUUCCUCUUCUUGGACCCUUCGGCCUUCCCCCUUGGGGCGGCCUUCCUUUUGUUUCCUCCCUCCGCUUGGGGGGAGAGCUUUCUUCUUCCUCCUCCUCGUUUUCACGGGAGGAGGGCAUCUCGGACUUGUCGGAUGACGAGUCCGACAACACCAUGUUGCGGGUACUCUUUCGAGUCCCCGUGGUCUUAUUCUUCUUGGCCUUCUUUUCCGGCACCACAUAAGGCGCCGGAGCCAGCAGCUUCACUAGUAGAGCUGGGGCUGGGUCUUCGGGCAGCGGAGCCGGACAGUUAAUCGGUCCGGAUACCGCCCGCCAAGCCUGUCAAAGGUAAGGGAGUUUAGAUCCCGCAUAGAGUUAAACUAUGAAAAAAGCUGAACAUCAUGUAAAAGGUGAAAAUAGCUUACCUCGCUAGCGUGACGCUGCGAGUUGUAUCCGUGGUCCUCGGAAACAGAUGCGGGAGCCCCGGCACCUUUGAUUAGCGCCUUCCAGACGUCUUCAUACGUCGUGUCGAAGAGCCUAUUAAGGGUUCGGUGCUGUGCCGGGUCGAACUCCCACAGAGUAAAGUCCCGUUGUUGACACGGGAGGAUUCGGCGAAGGAGCAUGACCUGGACUACAUUUACAAGCCUGAUUGACUUGUUUACCAGGGACUGGAUGCAUGUCUUCAGUCCGGUCACCUCUUUCUCGUUACCCCAUGAUAGGCCCGUCUCUUUCUAGGACGUGAGCCGCGUGGGGGGUCCGGAUCGAAACUCGGGGGCUGUGAUCCAUUUCGGAUCACGUGGCUCGGUGAUGUAAAACCACCCGGCUUGCCACCCCUUCAGGGUCUCUAUGAAGGAGCCCUCGAACCAUAGGAUGUUGGCAAUCUUGCCCGCCAUGGCGCCUCCGCACUCCGCCUGGUUGCCGCGCACCACCUUGGGCUUGACGUUGAAGGUCUUGAGCCAGAGGCCGAAAUGGGGGCGGACGCGGAGGAAGGCCUCGCACACGAUGAUAAAUGCCGAGAUGUUGAGGAUGAAGUUCGGGGCCAGAUCGUGAAAAUCCAGGCCGUAGUAGAACAUGAGCCCCCGGACGAAUGGGUGAAGUGGAAAACCCAGUCCGCGGAGGAAGUGGGGGAGGAAUACUACCCUCUCGUGGGGCCUUGGGGUGGGGACAAGCUGCCCCUCCUCGGGAAGCCGGUGCACGAUGUCUUUGGACAAGUAUCCGGACUUCCUAAGCUUUUUGAUGUCACCCUCCGUGACGAAGGAGACCUUCCACUUGCCUCCCGCUCCGGACAUCGCUGGAGAAGGUUGAGGUGAGAAGUGCGGGCUUGGGCGCUGGAGCUCGAGUGCACAGGAGAUGGAUAGGCAAAGGAGGAAGAAGGCGUAGGUAAAAAGGUGGAUCCUUAUCCCCUUAUAUGGGUGGAUGCGGUUGUGCGUCCCCACCUGCCUAAUAAAACUCGCUUGCCUCCCAAGCGCCAUGGUAAAUGGCGCGGUUAGGGUUACCCACGUCCGUAUUGAUGAGAAUCCUGUAAAAAGGGUACACGAUCUCUGCUUUGACAAGACGUACCAAGGAAACCGCCUCGCAAAACAUGCUGAGGUGGAAAAGUAAAAACGAUUCGAGUAAAGGACUUGGCUGUGGUGUGAUAGCGCACUGCGGAAUACGUCAGCAGAUUUGAUUUGUGUCAAUAUUAUUCUCUCUAUGGCAAUAUGUGGAAACUUAUUUUGCAGAACCGGACACUACUCUUGGUGUGUACAAAACUUCUAUGAAGGACUUGGAGGAGGAACCCGCCUUGCAAUGCCGAAGACAAUUUGCGCGCCGGACUCGUCAUCAUUGAAGCCUGGUUCAGGGGCUACUGAGGGAGUCCUGGAUUAGGGGGUGUUCGGGUAGCCGGACUAUACCUUCAGCCAGACUCCUGGACUAUGAAGAUACAAGAUUGAAGACUUCGUCUCGUGUCCAGAUGGGACUUUCCUUGGCGUGGAAGGCAAGCUUGGCGAUGCCGAUAUUCAAGAUCUCCUACCAUUGUAACCGAGUCUGUGUAACCCUAACCCUAUCCGGUGUCUAUAUAAACCGGAGGGUUGUAGUCCAUAGGCAAUCAACUCCAUACACAACAAUCAUACCAUAGGCUAGCUUCUAGGGUUUAGCCUCCUUGAUCUCGUGGUAGAUCUACUCUUGUACUACCCAUAUCAUCAAUAUUAAUCAAGCAGGAGUAGGGUAUUACCUCCAUUGAGAGGGCCCGAACCUGGGUAAAACAAAGUGUCCCCUGUCUCCUGUUACCAUCCGGCCUAGACGCACAGUUCGGGACCCCCUACCCGAGAUCCGCCGGUUUUGACACCGACACAUGGCAUAGGAGCAAAUUUAAUCAAACAUCAUUUUAAACAUCUUAAACAUGGGUGAAAGUUGCAUAUUGAGAAACUAGAUGAAAUUCUAAGCAAGUUUCGUAUAUAAAUUAUUUAGAUCCGAUGCACGGUUGAGAAGUUAUUAAAUGCAUGAAGUUUAAGGGCUAUUCUGCAAAACAGGUCUUCUCUGGAAUAUUAGGAAAAACCUCCUGAACUGAAAAAAAAACAUCACGGGCCGAAUCUGCAGGCUGCUGGGGCGCUCACCAUGGGCUGAGGCCCGGUUCGGUGAAGAGGUAGGCUGGAAGGGGCGGCGCGGAUCUGGCCCGACUGGAAGCGGUGCUGGGCCGCGGUUGGAGAGGAGGCCGGCCCACCUGCAUGGACGAGGUCAGCGAUGCGGACACCGUUGUCCUCCUCCCGACAAGGACGAGCGGCGGCGGCUUGCAGCCUCCGGCGAAAUGAUGUGGGGAGGAGCUGGGGUUGAACGGGGGCAUCAGAUUCGGGCGGAUCUGGACCCAAGGGACCCAUUCCCGAUGCCGGUGGCGCCCGGCGAUGCAAGGUUGGUCGGAUCUGGCAGCAAUAGCCUCACCUGCGAGAGAGAGAACGAGAGGUGAGCGCUGGGAGGAGAAGAAAGAGAGAAGAGAGAGGGACGGCGGAGCUCUGGCCUCAGGUGGAGGUCGCCGGCGGGAGCACUCCGGUGGCCGGUAGAAGGAGGCGAAGCGCGAGGCGGCGCGGGGCUCUAGCGGGAGGAGGCAUACGAGCGGGCGAGCGAGCGUGCUCGGGCGCACCGCGGCAGGGCGAUUCGGGCCCGGGCGGCCCGGAGCGGGCCUCCCAUGGGCUCUGAGGGCCGCGGCGAAGUGAGGCGCAGGGGAGGACACGCGGCGAUGCGGGAUUGGGUGCAGGGGCGGCGCGGCUGACGUGGCGGCGGUGGCGGGUGGCUCUGGCGGCGACAAGUGGCGGCGGGGUGCUGGUUGGGCGCUGAAAGCGAGGUAGGAGACGACGGCGGCUGCGGGGGGAGGAGGUUUAGGCCAUUUUUGGCAGGGGUAGGGCUAUAUAUAGACAGAUGCUAGGGUUAGGGGGGUUAGGAGGGGUUUUCAGAGCCUCCGAUCGCGAUCCAAUGGCUCCGGACACGAGGAGGGGUAGAUUGGAGCGUGUGGGUUGUGCAGAAGGCCUCGGGCAGAGAGGAGAGAAGAGAGAUAGAGGCCCGGCGACUGUUUUCGGAGACCGAAAACGUCCGACGUUUGACCGACUAUAAUGUCACUAUAGUUAUCCAUUGGGGGAUCAAAUGAACUCCGAAUGCGAUGAAAUUUGACAGGCGGUCUAUCUACACUAUAACAAGACCACACGCAAACUCUCAUCUCAUUCUGAGAAUAUUUUCCGACCACUUAUAAAAUAAUAUUUCGGACAUGCCGUGGGCGCGUGCAAGUGUGUCUGGGCUCAGAACGAACAACGGGGAGAACUGGGAGAACCCGGACGAAUGCAAGUUUUGAAAACAUGAUGAUCCAAUGCAUGUGAUGACAUGAUAAGAUGCAACACGCAAGCAAAUGACAUGGCAACAACAUCGAAUAACUGGAAGACACCUUGCGCAUCGGUCUCGGGGCGUUACAAAUUGUAAUGAGUGUAUCCACGUGUCACUACCUGAUAGAGGCAAAGGUGUCCCGAUGUUUCGAUGAGAUGGUGGCUAUCGUUUUCUGUGGGAGUCGACCUUGACGAUCCGACUACGAACGUGCGAGACAUCGCGCCUUAACAAUCGCUAAACCAACUUCCGAGGGUUAUUGACCACGCCGGAGCACGAUCAACCUGACCACGAGGGUCUGUUUCCUGCGAGCAAACCAAAAACAAGCAAGAAAGUGAGAUUGCAAUCUGGAUAUUGCGAAUAUAAGAUGAAAGAUUUAUUGAUCAAGGUGGGGUUCUGUGACGUCUUGGUCUGGUCGUUGGACACAAACGAAGUACGCGAAGUUGCAGCUCUGACGAACUUUUAAUCUAAACAAAACCCAAGGAAAAAGAUACUAGAUGGAUCUACUUAUAUAGGAGCAAGGGAUGGCGGCCAAGGAGGUGGGAGGAUGUCCCAAGGCAGCCUAAAACUAACCCUAGGUCGUACAAGGCUCAUGGGCCCAAGUGGAGGUGAUGCAACACCUUUGGGCUUGUAGUUUGACUCGGAUUCUGCUGUAAUGUCAGAUUGUUUCGUCCGUAACUCAACGCUCCGGACGAAUUUUAAGGUGAAUCCAAUUGGGUUGGAAAGAUCACGAAAUCUAGUUUCCAACAAAAAAAGAAUCACCCAAUUCGGAGUCCGUAUGAAAAAGUUGCUGGCGUUUUGAGUCAGGUCUGUCUGUGCAGUCCGAAUCUGAAUCCAGAACGUGAGAGACUUGGGCUCUAUCUUCUCUUGCCCCAAAAGUGACGUGAGAGGACUUUUUGAACACAACCUAAACGUCUCCUUUUCCCUUAUCUUCAUAUGUGGAUUGUACAAAUGUCCCAUACGCCUGCAAUUAGACAAAACACAAAAGUGUGUGAAGUAUUUUUGUUCUGGAUAACAUAAAUAGAUUAUUGAAUAGUUUGCAUUAGAAAUCAACUGACAAAUAUGCAUGUAUGCAAUAUUUUUGGUCGUAUCCAAGGUAGUCAUGUCAUCAUCAUCCUCCCCUUUUUGAAAACAAAGCUGUCCUCGGCAUUGCUUAAUCUGAAAUGUGGCUAACAAAAGAGACAAGGUGUACAUGUUGUAUAUGUAUAUGUCAUCCAUUUUAACUUUCCUUGAUUUUUGCACAUAUGUCACAUGUAUACAUGAGUAACUUUCAUUGUUCAUAAAAUCUAAAGCCAAAAAAUUAUCACAAGAAGUAGAAGGGGUGAAAAUAUUGGAACUCAGUUUGCACAUAUAAGUGAAGCUCUUAUUCACUUCAAAAGAUUGGCAAUGUUCAUCAUUAAACCAUCCUAACUUCGAUGAAUAAACAUUACUUGCAUCAAAUUUACAUGCUACAACAUGCUUAAAUAAGCAAACAUGCAAUAAGUCAUUGGACACAGAAUCAUCAUCAAGAUUAGAGGUCAUAUCAAAAUGAUUAAACAUUGGUUCUUUUGCAUCAACAGUUAAUUCAAUGGGUGCACUCAAAAUUGUUGAUAUUUCAGUUGUUUGAUCACAUGACGCAUUCAUGAUAGUAACAAGAGUCUCUAAAAUAGAUGGUGUGCUCAAAUCAACAGGUAACUCAACACAUGAUGCAUUCAAGUUAACUAGGCAUGCUUCAUUCUCAUGUGAAGUUAUAUCAUCAAUACAUUUACUGUUACCUCGCAGAGAUGUAGCUGAUGUAGGUACGGACGUUGACAAUGUACCAUACUCUUGAGAUGAUAUCGCGCUCACAAUCCGAGGUGGGGCUGCUCUAGUAGGUGCAAUAGUGGAGUAACCAACCGGCGGUGGUGAGCAUGAACUGGAAUAGUAGUUGUUGUAGUCACCCAAUGCAUCCUCAUGUAUCUGUCUCUCAAAGGUACAAGCACGGACAUACAUACCAGUAAUGCAACGAGGAAUAUACUGAAAUCUUGCCUGAAUAUCAUGGUUCAAACCACCAAAAAAUCUAUUCAUUGUAUCAUCCUCAGAUUCUUCUAUGUCACAAUGAUGCAUAUAAGAUUUGAACUCUUGGUAGUAAGCAUGAACAGUGUUACUGCCUUGUUUUAAUUGCUCAAAUUUGCGACGCAAUUCACGAUGAUAGUAAGGAGGAAAGAAUUGUUGUCUCAUUAUAGCUUUCAAAACUUUCCAAGUUGUGGGUUGGUUAUCAAUGUUUUUCUUACAAUGUACACUCCACCAAACAGAAGCAAAACCAGUAAAUGCUCUAAUGGUAGCUCGUACUCUCUCAAGUUCAGAAAAAUCAUGGUGACUAAAAACUUGUUCUACUUCAAGCUCCCAAGCUAGAUAACCAGCAGGAUUAAAUCUACCCUCAAAUGAUGGUAAAGAGAUAACCUGACCAUAUGCUUGUGUGUGUUGUCCCAACUCUCGUGAUGGUGAAGAUGUGUCCGUCGUCCAAGAACUUCUAUCUCUGGAACCUGUCAUGAUUAGUAGAAACAAGAACCAAAAUUCGAGAAUAAUGUUCCUAUGAACUACUAGGAUGUGGUUGUAAAGUGCUCACAGUAAAGCAAAUAUCAAUAUCUUACAAGUUCUUACCAUGCGGUAGGUGGUGACAGGCAACCAGCCGUGUCAAAUAACUCCGAAGAUUGUGUAAAGCGAUUGCCAGGGGAACGUGCGUAUACACGGUGUAGAAAUAUGUGGAGCUGGGUUGGCUAUAUAUGGUAGCAAAAGAUUAGCAAUAAUCAAUUCAGAGAUGCAAUGUUGAAUAAACGCUCAACGACGGUACUGUGCUGGUCCUAGGCUAGACCGAACUAGAAACGCGAGCCUAGAACACUAAUGAGGUCACGUCGUAGCACAACUAGUAUCAAUGAAGGAUACUAAGUAGCUCUGGACAGCAAGAUAUAAGUGAAGAUCACAACGACAGUAAAGAUAAUGAUGUGAAACAACAGCCAAGCAGGAUAAAUCAACAACUUUGUCUCCAACUUUCCUCUGAAAAAGUUUGUGCCGACUUUUUUAAUUGUUUUUUUUAAGAAUGGUAUUGACUCAAGCUUUCAAACACAAAAGGAAUCACUCAAUUCCGAGUUGAUAUGAGGAGUCAAAAAAUUCGAAAACUGGCCUGAAAAACUGGAAUAAGCUGUGUUCAUGAACUUCGGAGGGCAAAAAGACCUAUUUAGAAGCCGAUUUUGAGGUGCCAAAUAUUGAACUAGCUUCUUCAACUAUUUAGAUGCGUCUCAUCGCUAGCUUUCGUUUGAGUACUCGCGGAGGCAAAACGGACUUCGUAUGAGGAAGUUAUGCAUGUUUUACUGAACAGUGCACAAAACAGAUUCCAAUCCGAAUUCAACUACGAGAUUGAGUCUAAAAAGAUCCGAAUUUUUUUUGGCUUCUCUUUUUUUUCCUCACACUUUUUUUCUCUCCUUUUUUUUCUCUGACUUUUUUCUCUUUUUUUCUCUCGUUUUUUUCUCUCUUUUUUUCUCCCUCUUUCCAAAACAAACUAGAUAAGAUGCAGAUUGGAUCAAGUGAAGAUGUGAACGAUCUCAACUAUUGUUAUGACAAUGAAUGGUGGGUAGCACGUGGUGAAAAUUGAUGGAUGGGUGGUGGACAGUGGAAGAGAUAAUGAUGCAGUGGUGGCGUGACUAAUGUGAACAGAACUCGAAACUCUAAACGAACUAGACACUAAGACCAGCAACUCGACACGACGAUGCAACCGAUAAUUCAACUAUGCAUGCAAUGAAAAGAAAAUUGCAAAGGCUCAGACUGGCUUGGACCAAGGAUGAAUAGAUCUAACUCUUUUUUGUGGCUUUUUCUUGGACAAUAGGUAAGAAAAUAAAUCUAAUCUAGGAAAACUGGAAAUUCUCACCGAGCAACCUGAAAACUGAUACCACUUGGUAGAGGCAAAGGUGUCCCGAUGUUUCGAUGAGAUGGUGGCUAUCGUUUUCUGUGGGAGUCGACCUUGACGAUCCGACUACGAACGUGCGAGACGUCGCGCCUUAGCAAUCGCUAAACCAACUUUCGAGGGUUAUUGACCACGCCGGAGCAUGAUCAACCUGACCACGAGGGUCUGUUUCCUGCGAGCAAACGAAGAACAAGCAAGAAACUGAGAUUGCAAUCUGGAUAUUGUGAAUAUAAGAUGAAAGAUUUAUUGAUCAAGGUGGGGUUCUGUGACGUCUUGGUCUGGUCGUUGGACACAAACGAAGUACGCGAAGUUGCAGCUAUGGCGAACUUUUAAUCUAAACAAAACCCAAGGAAAAAGAUACUAGAUGGAUCUACUUAUAUAGGAGCAAGGGAUGGAGGCCAAGGAGGUGGGAGGACGUCCCAAGGCAGCCUAAAACUAACCCUAGGUCGUACAAGGCUCAUGGGCCCAAGUGGAGGUGAUGCAACACCUUUGGGCUUGUAGUUUGACUCGGAUUCUGCUGCAACGUUAGAUUGUUUCGUCCGUAACUGAACGCUCCGGACGAAUUUGAAGGUGAAUCCAAUUGGGUUGGAAAGAGCACGAAAUCUAGUUUCCAACAAAAAAAGAAUCACCCAAUUCGGAGUCCGUAUGAAAAAGUUGCUGGCGUUUUGAGUCAGGUAUGUCUGUGCAGUCCGAAUCUGAAUCCAGAACGUGAGAGACUUGGACUCUAUCUUCUCUUGCCCCAAAAGUGACGUGAGAGGACUUUUUGAACACAACCUAAACUUCUCCUUUUCCCUUAUCUUCAUAUGUGGAUUGUACAAAUGUCCCAUACGCCUGCAAUUAGACAAAACACAAAAGUGUGUGAAGUAUUUUUGUUCUAGAUAACAUAAAUAGAUUAUUGAAUAGUUUGCAUUAGAAAUCACCUGACAAAUAUGCAUGUAUGCAAUAUUUUUGGUCGUAUCCAAGGUAGUCAUGUCCUCAUCACUACUUGAACUGGUGAUGAAUUGAGACUUCUGUGAUCUUCACUUAGUGAGGUACCUCUUGAUGUUGCACUUCUUUUUACAUAUGUUUGUAUUGUUAGAGUUAUAUUUGUUCUGGCAUUUGGCCUCCCUUUGUUCAUGUAUAUAUGAUGGCUUUAGCCUUCUCAUAAUACAAGUUGCAUAUUUUCCUGACAUGGUAUCAUGAGCCUAGGUUGUUUUUUCGUUCGGGCACCGCAACUCUCCCUCACAAUCGAGUUCUUCCUCUCGAUCUCCCGGUCAUAUCUUACGCGCUGCUCCUCUCGUACUGCCGCUCUCCUCCUCUAGCCGGCAAGCUACUGCUCCUCCACAUAUCCCACCAUGUGUUGAUGUUCGAUCUUGUAGCCUUGCCGCUCGAUCCACAUGUCUGCUAGCCUCCUGUCUCGAUUAGCCGCUGCCCGCCCGAUCUGCCCGUCGGCGUGUUGCGUUGACCAGUGGAUCCCGCAGGAGUCUGGCUUUGUCCAGCAGCCGGCGCCUCUCAGAUCGAUCCGCUGCUUGUACGUUCGCUCGUGGGAUCCAGUCACCGCUCAUGCAAGCUAGCUUCUGGUUGGCCGUGUAUGUGUUGAUGCCUUGACGCUGUGCUAGUGUGCUGCUCCUGCACUGCUUUGGCUUCACAUGGUGAUUCUCCAGUGCCUGUUGCAUCUCUCGCCGGCGACUCCUGCAGGCCCGCGUCCGUUCCACCAUGCAGCAACAGUUCAUAUUAGUUCAGGCAUCUCUUUGAUUCCUAAAAAGAGAGAGAGAGAGAGAGAGAAAAAAGAAAAAGAUGCUAUGGUGUUUCCGUCGGGCAAGCAUAUCAGUCGCUGCAUGCAGACUUCUGACGGUGUUCCCUAUAUUGAUCCUGUGUCGCAUGUCCGUCUACGAUGUUGUCCCCUACAACGUCUUCAGCAGGCUGUGUUGGUCGCUAUUCAUCGAUUCUUCUUGCGACUUCUACCCGUGAUGGUGGUGCCUGCUCUACGUUGACUCCUCUCGCGGCUUCCGCGUGCGGCGAUGACCGCUCUACGUCGACUCCCCAAUGGCUUUCACAUGUGGCACUACGUCGACUAACUACUCUCGGUUGACUCUACACGCGCCUUCCAUGGGUGUUGGCGACUGUUCAUCGCCGACCGAUGUUUCUACCUCGACAUCUUCCGCUGUGUCCCUGUCUGCGAGUGAGAUUAUGCAGUUGAGAUGACUUCUUGCUGCGUGGGAUUCUUCACCGACAUGUUCUGCAGGUUCCGUGACUGACCCUUCUAGCAAUGAGAAACCACCUUCAAAUCAUUCAGGUACAUCCCCAUGGAUUCUUGAUACUGGAGCAUCUUUUCAUAUGACUUAUGAUUCUUCUACUUUGACCUCUGUUCGACCUGUUGAGUCUCCGGUUCGUGUUCUUAUGGCUGAUGGCACUCCCCUUCAUGUAGCUAGUUGAGGCAUUCUUAGCACUUCUUCAUUUCAUGUUCCCUCUAUCGCUCAUAUUCCUCGACUUACCAUGCAGCUCAUAUCUGGUGGUCAAAUUGUUGACUCUAGUUGUAGGGUCAUUUUGGACUUUGAUUCAUGUUCUGUUCAUGAUCAUCGCAUGGGCGCUCUGCUUGGUGCUGGCCCUCGACACUCUGAUGGUCUCUGGGAGCUUGACUGGCUUUGUCUUCCCUCCGCUACCACCGCCGCUAGUCUCGCAGCCCCUGCUGCUGCAUCUGCCAGUUCUUUUCAGCAAUGGCAUCAUCAUCUUGGCCAUUUAUGUGGUUCUCGUCUCUCAUCUUUGGUUCAUCGCGGCAUUCUGGGGUCUGUCUGUGGUAACGCUUCGUUGGAUUGUCUAGGUUGUAGACUUGGUAAGCAAGUUCAGCUACCCUAUCCUCACAGUGAACCAGUGUCCGAGCGCCCUUUCGAUCCCGUUCACUCUGAUGUUUGGGGUCCAGCUCCCUUCGCUUCGAAAGGGGGUCACCGCUACUAUAUUAUCUUUAUAGAUGAUUUUUCUCGGUACACUUGGAUCUAUUUCAUGUCUUCUCGUGGUGAGGUUUUAUCUAUAUACAAAAAAAUUGGUGCCAUGGUUCGUACCCUGUUUUCCACUACCAUUCGUGUUUUCGCGCAGAUUCAGCUGGUGAGUAUAUCUCCCAUGCGCUGCGAGGAUUCCUUGCUGAGCAAGGUACUCGUCCUCUGUACUCUUGCCCUGGUGCUCAUGCUCAGAAUGGUGUGUCUGAGCGCAAGCAUCGUCACCUUCUUGAGACGGCACGUGCGAUGAUGAUUGCCGCCUCUCUUCCGCCUCACUUCUGGGCUGAGGCUGUUACCACUUCCACCUAUAUUAACAUUCAUCCAUCUGGUGCUCUACAGGGUGGUAUUCCUCUCAAGCACCUUUCUGGUCGUUCUCCUGAUUAUUCGAUGCUUCGUUUGUUUGGUUGCGUUUGCUAUGUUUUACUUGCCCCCCGUAAACGUACCAAACUAACUGCUCAGUCUGUUGAGUGUGUCUUUCUCGGAUACAGUGAUGAGCAUAAGGGCUAUCGCUGUUGGGAUCCUGUCGGUCGUCGGAUGCGUAUUUCCCGGGAUGACCUUUGAUGAGUCUCAUCCCUUCUACCCGCAUCCAUCCUCCUCGGCCUUUUCCACGGAGGACAUCUCUUUUUUAGUUUCCCGGAUGCACCCCCCUCUGUACCUAGUAUUCCUACUCCUCGUCCUGCUAUUGCAGAUCUGACACCGUCCUCUCCUACGAUUUCUUCUACUCCAUCGUAUGACUCUCCACCUUCAUCACCGAUACCUUCCCCUUCUCCAUCUUCAUCAUCGAUACAUUCACCAUCUCCACCUCUAGUGAUUCCACCUCUUCCCUCCUUUCCUUUCCAUUAUACUCGUCGUCCGCAUGUUGUGGCUGAGUCUACUGAUGUGCCCUCUACCUCUAGUGUGUCGUCUUCCUCUUCUCACCCAACUUAUGGUCUUCGUUCUCGGCCUUGCCCGCCCCCUGACCAAUAUUCUCCUUCUCGCUAUGGUCUUUCGACCGUUCUUGAGCCGACUUCUUAUCGAGAUGUUAUUGUUCAUCCUGAAUGGUAGUUUGUGAUGGUAGAGGAGAUUGCUGCCCUUGAGCGCACCGGCACAUGGGAUCUGGUUUCUCUUCCUCCACAUGUUCGUCCAAUCACGUGUAAGUGGGUCUAUAAGAUUAAGACUCGCUCGGAUGGUUAUCUUGAGCGCUAUAAAGCUCGUCUUGUGGCUCGUGGCUUUCAGCAGGAGCAUGGUCAUGAUUACGACGAGACUUUUGCUCCUGUGGCCCAUAUGACCAUUGUCCGCACACUUCUCGCCGUGGCCUCUGUUCGCCACUGGUCUGUGUCUCAGCUUAAUGUUAAGAAUGCCUUUCUUAAUGGUGAGUUGUGUGAGGAAGUUUAUAUGCAGCCACCACCUGGGUAUUCGGUUCCUGAUGGCAUGGUUUGUCGUCUUCGUCACUCUCUCUCUAUGGCCUUAAGCAAGCCCCCCACGCUUGGUUUGAGCGUUUUGCCUCUGUCAUCACUGCAGCUGGUUUUUCGCCCACUGUUCAUGAUCCAGCGCUGUUUGUGCACCUUUAUGCUCAUGGUCGCACUCUUCUUCUUUUAUAUGUUGAUGACAUGAUCAUCACUGGCGAUGAUCUUGAGUACAUUGCCUUUGUCAAAGCCCGUCUCAAUGAGCAGUUUCUUAUGUCUGAUCUUGGUCCUCUUCAUUACUUUCUUGGGAUUGAGAUUUCCUCCACCUCUGAUGGUUUUUUAUUUCCCAAGAAAAGUAUAUCCAGGAUCUUCUUUCUCGUGCUGCUCUUAGUGAUGAGCGCACUACUGAGACUCCUAUGGAGCUUAAUGUUCACCUUCGUGCUUCUGAUGGUGAGCCCUUGUCUGAUCCGACUCGUUAUCGUCAUCUUGUUGGGAGUCUUGUCUAUCACGCUGUCACUCGUCCGGAUAUUUCCUAUCAUAUCCAUAUCCUGAGUCAGUUUGUUUCUUCUCCCACUUCGGUUCACUAUAAUCACCUUCUUCGUGUUCUACGAUAUCUUCGUGGCACGAUCUCUCACCGUCUAUUCUUUCCUCGUUCCAGCUUGUUACAGCUCCAAGCCUAUUCAGAUGCUACCUGGGCUAGUGAUCCUUCGGAUCGCCGUUCACUUUUUGCUUAUUGUGUCUUUCUUGGCGGUUCUCUCAUUGCCUGGAAGACGAAGAAACAGACUGCAGUUUCCCGGUCUAGUGCUGAGGCUGAGCUGCGAGCUAUGGCUCUUCUCACAGCAGAGGUGACUUGGUUACGCUGGUUACUCGAGGACUUUGGUGUUUCAGUUACUACACCUACUACACUCUUGUCAGACAGCACAGGUGCCAUCAAUAUUGCGCGGGACCCCAUGAAGCGCUUACCAAGCAUAUUGGUGUUGAUACUUUCUUUGUGCGUGCUAGUGUGCAAGACCGUGUUAUUACUCUUCAGUAUGUGGCUUUCGAGUUACAGUUGGCGGACUUCUUCCCGAAGGCCUAGGCUAGAGCGCAACAUGGAUUUACCUCUCCAAACUCAGUGUUGUGGAUCCACCAUCAGUUUGAGAGGGGGUGUUAGAGUUAUAUUUAUUCUGGCCUUUGGCCUCCCUCUGUUCAUGUAUAUAUGAUGGCUUUAGCCUCCUAAUAAUACAAGUUGCAUGUUUUCCUGACAUGUAUUUGCAUUUGCACUUGACUACCUAUUUACAAUGAUAUAAAUGCAUUGGCAUGCAUGGGCUUAGACUCUGUUUUUGUGUCAACAAACUCCGCCCUACCUUAAAUUCUAUCUGUGCUUCGCCAAAUGCAUAUGAAGAUAUUCUUUUAGGCCGCAAAGGCAUUAAGACAAUUCAUGCCAAAUCUAUAGGUGCACAGCUAUAUCUCAACCAAACUUCCAGUUUUUCCACAGCUCACAUCAGCUUUUUCAAAAUUCACAGCACAACCAAACUCGCCGUUAUGUUGUGUAUUUGUUGGCUAACCCAGCAUCGUUGGACUAAACACAUCAAGAUUAACAUCCACGUAUCAAUAAGAUUCAGAUGAUCUGUGGCAUUAGCUACAAAAGGACAAAAUACAUCAGCAAAAAGCAUGUUUACUUUAGAAUAUCGACGAC
rnacentral:lncRNA from 1 species